UCGGAACACAGGUGCUGCAUGGCUGUCGUCAGCUCGUGUCGUGAGAUGUUGGGUUAAGUCCCGCAACGAGCGCAACCCUUAUCAUUAGUUGCUACGCAAGGGCACUCUGAUGAGACUGCCGGUGACAACCGGAGAAGGUGGGGAUGACGUCAAGUCCUCAUGGCCCUUAUGGGUAGGGCUUCACACGUCAUACAAUGGUCGGUACAGAGGGUUGCCAAGCCGCGAGGCGGAGCCAAUCCCACAAAGCCGAUCGUAGUCCGGAUUGUUCUCUGCAACUCGAGAGCAUGAAGUCGGAAUCGCUAGUAAUCGCAGGUCAGCAUACUGCGGUGAAUACGUUCCCGGGUCUU
rnacentral:rRNA from 1 species